rnacentral:lncRNA from 1 species
ACGCUAGUGGGCCCAAAGAGGGAUUGAACACAUCCUUGGCUCUUAACAAAGUGAGCUGAUACCCAGGUAUAUGUAGUCAGAUGCUCUACACAAUAAAUAAGUCUGCUUUAGGAAUUAUCUGGCUACCUUAAGUGUUACCAACUCAGCUGUAAAGAUUAUUUCAAAGCUCAUUCUUUUAUAUUUGCCUCUGGCUUUCAAUCCUACCUAAGUAUCAAGGAAAUUGUAAAUAUGGUAGUUGUUUACUAAGGAUAUGUACUGCUCUUGCAAGAAAAUAAUGUCCAAACAAAGCUUCACUUAUUUUUUUUUA